UACGGGGGGGGCAAGCGUUGUUCGGAAUUACUGGGCGUAAAGAGCUCGUAGGCGGUGUGUCGCGUCGGCCGUGAAAACCUGUGGCUUAACUGCGGGCUUGCGGUCGAUACGGGCAUCACUGGAGUUCGGCAGGGGAGACUGGAAUUCCUGGUGUAGCGGUGAAAUGCGCAGAUAUCAGGAGGAACACCGGUGGCGAAGGCGGGUCUCUGGGCCGAUACUGACGCUGAGGAGCGAAAGCGUGGGGAGCGAACAGG
rnacentral:rRNA from 1 species